rnacentral:misc_RNA from 1 species
CUAAAUUCAAGCUCAGCUUGGUGAUGGGCGUCUGUUCCACCUUCGCGUGCGGACUCGCCUCAAAUGCAGUUGGCAGCUCAUCCUCUGGCUCUAAACGCAGCAGAAUUGCGUCGAGCGCCCCCGGAAGCAGCUCUCCAGUAAGCAAAACCCCCC